rnacentral:sRNA from 1 species
GCCAGGCAUGGUGGCGCAUGUCUGUAAUCCCAGCAACUCCAAAGGCUGAGGCAGGAGGAUCCGGAGUUCAAAGCCAGCCUCAGCAACAUUGAGGCAUUAACCAACUUAGUGAGAUCCUGUCUCUA